rnacentral:rRNA from 1 species
GACGAACGCUGGCGGCGCGCUUAACACAUGCAAGUCGAGCGAAGCGGCGGACGGGUGAGUAACACGUGAGUAACCUGCCUUAGACAUUGGGAUAGCCUCGGGAAACCGGGAUUAAUACCAAAUGGUCUAAGAUGGACUCGCGUCCCAUUAGAUAGUUGGUGAGGUAACGGCCCACCAAGGCGACGAUGGGUAGCCGGGAUGUGAGGGUGAGCGGCCACAUUUAAGCUAAGAAACAGUCCAAACUCUACGGGAGGGAGCCGUGGGGAAUAUUGCAAUGUGGAGGGAACUAUGAUGCAGCGAGGGCGCGUAAACAAAGAAAGCUGUCGGGUCGGAAAGUUCUUUUAUAUGGGUCGCGGUACCAUAAGAAAAAGCCCCGGCUAACUACGUGCCAGCAGCCGCGGUAAUAC